AGUGGCCCAGUGGCUAACACGACCGCCUGGCAACCCAGGGGUCGUGGGUUCGAGCCCGG
rnacentral:tRNA from 11 species